GAUGAACGCUGGCGGCGUGCUUAACACAUGCUUGUCGAACGAUUAAACCGCCCUCGGGCGGACAUAGAGUGGCGAACGGGUGAGUAACACGUGACCAACCUGCCCCGCGCUCCGGGACAACCGCUGGAAACGGCGGCUAAUACCGGAUACUCCGGGAGGGCCCCAUGGCCCUGCCGGGAAAGCCGAGACGGCGCGGGAUGGGGUCGCGGCCCAUUAGGUAGACGGCGGGGUAACGGCCCACCGUGCCCGCGAUGGGUAGCCGGACUGAGAGGUCGACCGGCCACAUUGGGACUGAGAUACGGCCCAGACUCCUACGGGAGGCAGCAGUGGGGAAUUUUGCGCAAUGGGGGAAACCCUGACGCAGCAACGCCGCGUGCGGGACGAAGGCCCUCGGGUUGUAAACCGCUUUCAGCAGGGAAGAUCCAAGACGGUACCUGCAGAAGAAGCUCCGGCUAACUACGUGCCAGCAGCCGCGGUAAUACGUAGGGGGCGAGCGUUAUCCGGAUUCAUUGGGCGUAAAGCGCGCGUAGGCGGCCGCCUAAGCGGGACCUCUAACCCCGGGGCUCAACCCCGGGCCGGGUCCCGGACUGGGCGGCUCGAGUGCGGUAGAGGAGAGCGGAAUUCCCGGUGUAGCGGUGGAAUGCGCAGAUAUCGGGAAGAACACCGAUGGGCGAAGGCAGCUCUCUGGGCCGUCACUGACGCUGAGGCGCGAAAGCUGGGGGAGCGAACAGGAUUAGAUACCCUGGUAGUCCCAGCCGUAAACGAUGGGCGCUAGGUGUGGGGGGACGAUCCCUCCGUGCCGCAGCCAACGCAUUAAGCGCCCCGCCUGGGGAGUACGGCCGCAAGGCUAAAACUCAAAGGAAUUGACGGGGGCCCGCACAAGCAGCGGAGCAUGUGGCUUAAUUCGAAGCAACGCGAAGAACCUUACCAGGGCUUGACAUGCCGAUGAAGCCGGGGAGACCCGGUGGCCGAGAGGAGUCGGCGCAGGUGGUGCAUGGCUGUCGUCAGCUCGUGUCGUGAGAUGUUGGGUUAAGUCCCGCAACGAGCGCAACCCCCGCCCCGUGUUGCCAGCAUUCAGUUGGGGACUCGCGGGGGACUGCCGGCGUCAAGCCGGAGGAAGGUGGGGACGACGUCAAGUCAUCAUGCCCCUUAUGCCCCGGGCUGCACACGUGCUACAAUGGCCGGUACAGAGGGUUGCCACCCCGCGAGGGGGAGCGGAUCCCGGAAAGCCGGUCCCAGUUCGGAUCGCAGGCUGCAACCCGCCUGCGUGAAGCCGGAGUUGAUAGUAAUCGCGGAUCAGCACGCCGCGGUGAAUA
rnacentral:rRNA from 1 species